rnacentral:lncRNA from 1 species
AGCCUCUGAUCAUCAGCCAGUGUCAGAUGUCACAGCACAGCCAAGCAACCAGACCAGCAGAUGAGACCUUGUUAAUCCCCAGUGGUGAUGAGUAACUGUUCUCCCUAUCACAUAUCACAUACUGGUGAUUCAUCCAGGUGGCGCUAGGAGGGAUCUUCGCCACAGAGGGCAUUCGAGAGAUGACAACUCUAGACAUCUAUGCAACUUCUGUUCUUGUGCUCCUGCUGUUUUCAAAUUCCACAGUCACAGACUGCACCCUGGAAAACUCAGGACACCCUAGAGUGAACUGCUCUGAAGAACAAAGUUGCUACUUGCUUGCUACCUCUGGUUGCUACCCCUGGUUGUGUUUGGUUGCCACAUAAUGAAAUGAUUUUCCUUCCCUCUUUUAUUUCCUUUCUUUCUUUUUUUUCUGAGACAAAUGGAAAAAUAAUUUGAUCCCCUUGAAUCUUUUCACCCUUGGUAUUCUCCCCCUUCACACCCGAGCACCGCCCCUUGAUAAAUGAGAACACAUGUACUGAAAUCGCGGACUUCACCCUCCAGACUCAUGGUCCUCAUGCUCUCAGGGGGACACGUUUCCUUUCAAACCUCCAGAAUAAAUUCAUCACAGCAGAGAGCAUUGUUUUUCUUAAAAAAAAAAAAAAUCAAA